rnacentral:rRNA from 1 species
AAUAUUUCACAAUGGGCGAAAGCCCGAUGCAGCAACGCCGCGUGAGUGAUGAAGGCCUCCGGGUCGUAAAGCUCUAUGAUCAGGGAAGAAAAUGACAGUACCUGAAAAACAAGCCACGGCUAACUACGUGCCAGCAGCCGCGGUAAUACGUAGGUGGCGCGCGUUGUCCGGAAUUACUGGGCGUAAAGGAUUCGUAGGUGGAUACUUAAUUGGGAUGUGAAAUCCCCGGGCUCAACCCGGGAACUGCAUUCCAAACUGGGUAUCUAGAGUGCAGGAGAGGAAAGCGGAAUUCAUAGUGUAGCGGUGAAAUGCGUAGAUAUUAGGAGGAAAACCAGUGGCGAAGGCGGCUUUCUGGACUGUAACUGACACUGAGGCAUGAAAGCGUGGGUAGCAAACAGG